rnacentral:rRNA from 1 species
AUUGAACGCUGGCGGCAGGCCUAACACAUGCAAGUCGAACGAGUGGCGGACGGGUGAGUAAUGUCUGAGAAAGUGCCUGAUGGGGGGGGAUAACUACUGGAAGCGGUAGCUAAUACCGCAUACCCUCGGAUGUGCACAGAUGGGAUUAGCUAGUAGGUGGGGUAACGGCUCACCUAGGCGACGAUCCCUAGCUGGUCUGAGAGGAUGACCAGCCACACUGGAACUGAGACACGGUCCAGACUCCUACGGUAGGCAGCAGUGGGGAAUAUUGCACAAUGGGCGCAAGCCUGAUGCAGCCAUGCCGCGUGUAUGAAGAAGGCCUUCGGGUUGUAAAGUACUUUCAGCGGGGAGGCGUUACCCGCAGAAGAAGCACCGGCUAACUCCGUGCCAGCAGCCGCGGUAAUUC